rnacentral:lncRNA from 1 species
AGCUGCUGCCCUGGGCGCACUGCCUUGCGGGUCACUGUGGCUGCUCCUGUGCUUCAGCGGGACUAGAAGCUGCCGCCCACGGGCAGCGGGGAAGAAAUCUGGGCAAAGCCAUGAGCCCUCCGAGGCUGAGCUCCAGUUUAGGGGCUCACCUGCCUUGCAUCGUUCCGAGUCCUGUACUGGACUGCAUCAGGCCGCGUCUCCUCAGGGUGACAGAAACCAGGCAGUGAUUCAACUCGUAUUUGACUUUCACAUUCUCCAGCAAUGUUCUUCAAUCUGGGAAGGGUAGAAAAUUAAAGAAAGGUAAGGAGAGUUAAAAAAUGAGAUCAUUUCAAAGUAGAUGCAGUCUUGAAGCCCAAAUGAAUUACGAGAUCCAGUUUGAAAGCUGCUGCAGAAGUGAUUUCAGAAUCGCGCGGUGGCUCCGGAAUGGGGAACUGCUGCUGAAAGAGGUCGGAAAGGGUGGGGACUGAAUUUCGGGUAAGAGGACGCCAGUGGUUCUGGAGCACGCGGCCUUCAGCCAUGCCUGCGUUCACAAGUACAUUAUUUCAGACUCACUCCAAGUUUACAUCUCUAAGCCCAUCCAAGCCAUGGCAGCGCGAACCUCUCCCUCCCCCAGCUCAAGGCCUCUGGGCCCCCAGGACAGAGGACAGAAGAGCCAGCCCCUCCUGGCUCAGGGUUGCCGGGACCCCGUGAUGGCUGCUGUGCCUCUCCUGAGGUGCCAGGUGAGAGCUGAGACUUCUGCUCCCGCUGCACCAGCUCCGUUUGUCUCCAGGCGCAGUGUCAGUCUCGUUCUUUAAGCGCUUCUGAGGUCCCAUCAGCACAGGUCUCGUCUUACCUGGAAAGGCUUGUUGCCUUGUGCCUGGGACUUUUUAUUCUGUGCUUUUCUUCUGGAUAUUAAAUUUCAUAUCCACGCUUGCUUGUCACUCAGACCUUAUUGCCCUCUCCCUCCCAUUGGAACACUCUAGUCAUUUCUGUUUUCAACUGUAAACCAGUCUCAUUCAUGGUGAGAAAUUAAUGCUCCCUGGGUGUGGUCAGCAGACGGUAUCAAACCAUGCAAUCUUUUAAGGUCCAUUCAAACACAGACCUCCAAAAUGAUUUAUUGUUACACAUAUUAUGGUCAUAAGGCGUUUUCAAAUCAUAGGUAAACAGGACAGUGUAUGUGUGCAAAAGAAUGAUUGUGCCCAGAAAUCUCGGUAAACAGGUCAACUAAGAGCCCAAAAUAUAUUUCUAGAGUGCUUACACCCAGAAGUGAGUACUGAUUUGCUUUUAAUUAAUAUUUGGAAUGAAUGGGGUGCCAGGAGGACCCAAGUAUGAAGUAUUUAUGUGGGUGGUGAGACUAGGAGUGAUUUUGUUGUGUUUUUAUAUUUUAAAAAUUUUCUAAAAUGAAUGUGCAUUUAGUCCUCUAAAAAUAUAAGUGGUGUCCCAUUUAACAGUGCUACCAGUUGGAAAAAGGGAUUAACCCUAUUUACCCAAUUUAUUGUAUAUAAAGUUGUUGCUGUCAUUGUUGAAAUUAGGUGCUGCUAGAUUGUGCAAGUAUCAAAGUUCAAAAAAAGUGGGUCAUCUGAUUGGUUGUUGAUCACUGCAACAGCAAAGUUCUAGGCAAUUAAUGUUUUUGUUACUUUUGAAACAUAAGGGCAAGGAAUUAACAAAAAGUGUGUGGGACAGGGACAACUCCUCCCCUCUGGCCUCAUAACAAUGUUCUUGAAGUUUGCUUUUUCUUCUCUACCACUUGCAUUUGCUAAGCAGAAAGUGUUGGGGUGUGUACUCCACAGGAGUGGUUCACUGAGGUGAUGCUGCCCUGCACCAGCACCCUGAGGUGAGGAGACUGCUUUGGGGCAGGCAAGGGGCCAGGAGAGAGCAAACAAGUAUUAUUUUUCCUGUGUGUAGACUCAUAUUUAAUAAUUGUUGAAGAAAAAAGCCUUAACACCACAUGUAGCAAGUUUUAAUAGAGUUUUCUGAUUACCUUGGUCCCAUGGCUGACCAGUGACCGCCAUUAUGCCUGCAGAGAUGGGAUGGUGAGCCAUCAUUUCUCCUUCCUCUUUCCUGAAACUAGUUCUGAUACCAUCAGUGGCUUAGUCUCUAUAUGUCCAUCAGAUCCUGCCCAAUGCUGGGGACAAAACAUGAAUGAAAUGGAGUUACCCCUCAAAGAGCUCCCAGCUCUAAAGCCAUGAUCCUGUGCUCCAUCAAUACACAGGAGCAAGGGGGAAGGCAGAUGUUCCAGGAGGAGCAGAGAAGGCUUCACAGAGGGAGGCAGCACAGCCGACCUCAAGUGUGAAGGGAAGCUGCAGGGGAAGUGCAGAGCAGUCCCUUUCAGGCCAAGCAACAGCACAAAAUACCUUUGAGACAUAGACAUAUGAGAGGCACAGCUCAUUUGAGGAGCAUUGAAGAGUUUAGGGGCACAGAAUUAGACUUCAGGGUUAAGUUCAGGACCUGGGAUCAGAGUCUGGUAAGUUUAAAGGUUCUUGAAAUAAUUCUAGUAAAUAAAUAAAUGUGGUAAGACAGUGCAGCAGUACAGGUGCAGAAGCUUCAGAAGCCGUCCUUUCUCCUCUCCUCAUCCUCUUCCUUCCCUCUCAGCCCUAAACUGAGGCAGAGCGAAGAGGGCUCCAACUGGCAGAGGAAGAACUGGUGGGGCUUGGAGUUGGCUGUGGAGCCAAGCAGGGUGGUGAGGAAGGGUCCCCUGGGGAAGGUGAGAAUGGCCCCUGUCAGUGUGAGUGGGGCUGGGAGGCUGAGAGG